AACCUACUCUUUAUCUUAUGAAGUUUCUGUGCGUCAGUUUUAAAAAUGCACACCUAAAAUGUUUCUGUAGCGUCGGAUCUUUUUACGGCCAUCGCUGAAAGUCUACUAUUUGCGGCCUCUCUUACCCGACGUACAAGCUGUUUGUAAAAACUAAAAAUAUAAUUAAACUAAAUUAAUAUUUUUACUUAGCUGUAACCCCCAACCAUCUUACUUUUAUGAUGCCCCGACUCCUCUCAAAACUCUUGCGUUCUCUGCACACAAGUCCGAUGGGUUCACUAAUCGAUUCACUGGGUUCUUGAUUUGUCACUACGCUUGAUGAUCUGGUGUAUCAUACUCUUGUUCGUUGAAGAAUAAUUAGAGGUUUUAUAAAGCAUCAGCCUCUUGGACAAUAUUUCAUAUUCAACAGGUCCACCUUUUGUUGUUUAAGCUGCCUGUAAAAGAGCAAAUAAUGCAACCUAGUAUCGACCGUUACUUCUGGAUCCAGGUUUUGUUCCAAUCCUGACUUGCAACUUUCAGAAUACAGAUUAGGGGAACGGGAAUCUAAUUUUCUAUCUGCAUAAAAGGACACGCUGUUAACAAAUCAAUUGAAGUAAAUGAAUGUCAGGGGAGUACAACAUCCAUGUUCCUGUCUGCAUUCUCCGGGUCUACUUUUACAGUUUUUAUAAAAGUUUAGACGGAUAGUUUCCGCAAGUUUAUGGUCAUCUUUUUGAUGUUAUGCAAACUUCUGGUGCACUUACAAACCUAUUUGUUGCAGCAGUCCUAGCACUACAUGUUUCAGGAAUGAAAGAUGACAGCUCAAUGCCUACUUUCUAUCCAAGGAUGUUAUCAUUUGGAAAAUAAAGAUCCCACAUAUUUCUACUUACAAGAGUUACCGUGCUUUCAAGUUUAUUUACAUGCUUUUUGAAGGAUAGAUCGAUGGACGUUUUAUCUUUGACAUUUUUGUUGAAGGUUCUUCACCGUUAUAAAUUUAGAAUGUUCGCAUGUAAGAAUGUUCUUUAGUUAUCACGUGUCUUUGUUGAAUUUAUAAAUUAUGUAAAAUUUUCUCCAAGUUUAAAUAAUAUGGAUUAUUAGCAUU